rnacentral:rRNA from 1 species
GACGAACGCUGGCGGCGUGCCUAAUACAUGCAAGUAGAACGCACAGUUUAUACCGUAGCUUGCUACACCAUAGACUGUGAGUUGCGAACGGGUGAGUAACGCGUAGGUAACCUGCCUGGUAGCGGGGGAUAACUAUUGGAAACGAUAGCUAAUACCGCAUAAUAUUAAUUAUUGCAUGAUAAUUAAUUGAAAGGUGCAAUUGCACCACUACCAGAUGGACCUGCGUUGUAUUAGCUAGUAGGUGAGGUAACGGCUCACCUAGGCGACGAUACAUAGCCGACCUGAGAGGGUGAUCGGCCACACUGGGACUGAGACACGGCCCAGACUCCUACGGGAGGCAGCAGGAGGGAAUCUUCGGCAAUGGACGAAAGUCUGACCGAGCAACGCCGCGUGAGUGAAGAAGGGUUUCGGAUCGGAAAGCUCUGUUGUAAGAGAAGAACGGGUGUGAGAGUGGAAAGUUCACACUGUGACGGUAUCUUACCAGAAAGGGACGGCUAACUACGUG